CAGCCGCCGCGGGAAUACGAAGGGUGCAAGCGUUAAUCGGAAUUACUGGGCGUAAAGGGUGCGUAGGCGGUUGUUUAAGUCUGUUGUGAAAUCCCCGGGCUCAAUCUGGGAAUGGCAAUGGAAACUGGACGGCUAGAGUGCGGUAGAGGAUAGUGGAAUUUCCGGUGUAGCAGUGAAAUGCGUAGAGAUCGGAAGGAACAUCUGUGGCGAAGGCGACUAUCUGGGCCAACACUGACACUGAGACACGAAAGCGUGGGGAGCAAACAGGAUUAGAUACCCCAGUAGUCCCUGUCUCUUAUAC
rnacentral:rRNA from 1 species